rnacentral:lncRNA from 1 species
AGUUGGCAUGCUGUGCUGGUAACAACCAAACAGAUCCUGUCUGUUCACCUAAUUUUAAACCAAAUGAGACAUUAACAUAUAGUGGCAUUUGUAAACCAUGUGAAUCAGAGAUGAAAGAGGCAAUACACACAGCUUUCUCAAGCACUGGUGGAGUUGGUCUCUUCUUCAGUUUUACAGAGGUGAGACUUUGAGGAGUUUAUAAAACAGCCAGCACAUACAUGUAGUAUUCUUUUAUAGUGCUAGGUAUAAGGGCUAACCAAUGUUUAAUUGAAACUUUGAUGUCUACGUUGUUAAGAGAUAGAAAUAAUGCUUUUAACUGUGAUAUUUGGUUUAAAAUCAAUAGCAAUAGCUGAGGAUGUUGAAAGUGUUUGAAAUAGCUCUCUUAAAAGACCCAAAAAAAUUGGAAUUGUGAGCAUUGUCAACACAAUAGUCAAUUAUCUACCCUUUGAUAGAGAUUUUCUGCAGUAUUUUUGAAUGAUUUUUUCACUAUCUCUCUACGUUCAAACAGUUAAUUAGUCCAGGUGGUGUUUUCAGAAUUCACAGAAGCCUGCUUUAGGGAAGAAAAAAAUUAAAAAAUGUGUUCAUGCAAAUUUGCAGAACUUUUGAUUUAACACUGCUGGGUUAAAUUUUGAGAAGAAAUAUAUAUUUUAAUACAUGCAUACUUAUUCAAUAUUUUCAGAUUUCUAGUUCUGUUGUCAUGUUUAUUGUUCUUAAAUGGUAUAAAAUAAAGAGCAACAUUAUCAUAGGCUCAUUUUAGAGCAGUUUAUUAUUUAAAUAUUUUUUACCUUGAUUAAAAUGAUCUAUCUAUGAUUUUCCUAUUGCAAAACACAUAGUAAAAUAUAAAUUGAUUAUUUAGAACUGUAUAUACUAGUCUAUAUACAUGUAGAUCUGGAAGAAUAAAGUGUUCAGAACCUCUUUAGACAGAUAUUUUAUGAUUUGCAACUUCUUAAAUUAAAAGACAAAAUGUGGUUUAAGGGGGACUUUGUUUAUAUUUUCAAAGUAAUUUGAAAGAGGUGGUUCUGGCUUAAAAUAUAGAUAUUACAAUUUAUGUCAUGUAAAAACAGCUUCAGAAUUUAAAAUUUCAUCAGUUGUUUUACAUGUAUGUACAUGAUAUGGUAGUUUGCAUUUUCUAUAAGAAACAAGCUAUGAUAUAUACAAUACAAUUCCAAUUUGUUACAAUUCUUGGUAUGAUAGAUCUUUAAAACAUCUUCAUGUCAUCUUUAUCUACCAAUAUGUUACAAGUGUUUGAUUUUUUGUUGGAAGAAAAGCAAGGUUUACGAUAGUGGGGCAUGAGUUUAAAAAAAAUACUGCAUGGUGAACUGAAUGGUACCUUUAAGCAUGUAAAUAUUAAUAUAAUAAGCCUGCUAGAAUAAUUGCUUGCACAUGUUUGUUUUGUUGUUCCACGUUAUUAUCAUGAUUGUUUGUUUCGUGCACUAGUUUAACCAUGAUGAUAUUUUGUGUUUCAGAUAAUUGGUGUUUGGAUAACAAUACGUUAUAGAAACCAAAAAGAUCCGCGAGCAAACCCAAGCUCAUUUCUUUAACAUUAGUACGUACUAACACUGCAUGGUCAGUGGUGUUGGUUUUUUAUUUUUGGUUUAGUAUUUGGCUUUUAAUUCCUUGUUUCAGUUCUAGAAAGAUCCUCAUAGCUUUACACAGAAAUACUUUAAUCAUAUUUUAUUAUAAAAUAAGGAAGUGACAAACGAUUUUUAAUUACAAGGUCUUCUUUUUAUAAAAAAAAAAGGGUAUAUUUAAAAUACAAUAGAAAUGUUGAUUUUAUAAGAACAGUUGAUUCAUUAAGAUUAAGAAAUCCUUCUUUAUAAAAGGAAACUAUGAAAAUUCUAUUGCUCUGAAAGUUAAUUGUAAAUUCCUAACAAUUAAAAAAAAGCGAAAAUGAUCCAACCUAGCUGAUUUAUAAAUUAAUCUUCCACAAACACAAGCUUAUCCAAAAUUUUAUAAGUUCAUUUAUUUGAGUUUUAGAUAAAUCAUAAUAACAAAUGUUUCUCAACAAAUGAAUGGAAAUACUGCAAGCAGUGAAAAAUUAAUACAUGUACUAAAGUUGUGCCUGCCUCUUUGGAAAUUAUCUCCCUUUGUAGUUCAAUACAAAAACUGACAAAUAAAAAAAAAUAACAUAGCAUGUAGUAAAUAAAAGAAACUUUGUAAGAGCAGUUAACACAUCUGUUAAAUCUACAAUUUACAAAAAAAUGAAAUUCAGGUUGUUAUGCAUUUCUCUUUAUCAUAAAAAAUGCAUAUAAUGGUUCUGACAUAUGUAAAUUUUAACAAAGUCCAAAGAUGAACUAUUUAGGAUUUGUUGUAUUACUUGGUCUAAUAUUUUACAGUCUGAGCCUUUAACUUUCCCUAAAAUAUGCUUUUUCCCACCAAAAACUCUUAAAAUACUGUACAUGCCAAUAUUAUCGCUUGUGGUUAUGUUCAACCCUUCAAAGAGUAAAUCUGCAGUAAGCCAUUACCUAGUAAGCUGUCUAAAUUUUUAAUAAAAUCAAAUAAUGUAUAAAUAUUUUAAAAUAUACAAUUAUGAUUUUUGAAGGAUUAUGAGGAUUUCUCCUUUCCUGCAUGGUUUCUUGCUUAUGCUUCCUGUUAGUUAUAUUGUUGGUUCUUUUAACUACAUACUAUAUAAAUAUAUGUAUACUGUCAUCUAACAUGUCUAAUUUUACAGCUAACAACAAAAUCAGUCUGCAUGCUGUUCAAUACAGUGUUUCGAGAUUACUGGUCCAAGUACACAGUUGUCGUCCUUAGAUUUUCGUUGUCUAUGAAUAUAGUCCCCAGUGUGGACAGUGUGUUACUCGCCAAUUUUUUUUUAUGCUCCUACCAAAUUUAUUUCUCCAUGUUUUAUGCCUCAAAUAGCAAGCAAGGGUUGAAAUUACACUGUAAACAAAUUUGGGUCAUGAAUUUUAAAUUAAAGUGGUGAUUUGGUCCAGGUGAAAAAGGUUAAAAAUAAGAACUUUGAAAGCUGUCAAUAGAUUUCAAGACCCCCUUAACACAAAAUUGUCCAUAUUUUUGUUAGAGCCGGUGAUAUAAUUAAUUGAUAUUUCUAUAAUUUUUUACGACCGCAAAAUUGAAAUUCGUCCGUCGUUCGUCCGAAUACUUUUAGUUUUCGCGCUCUAACUUUAGUAAAAGUGAAUAGAAUCUAUGAAAUUUUAACACAAGGUUAUGACCACAAAAGGAAGGUGGGAUUGAUUUUGGGAGUUUUAGUCCCACAUUUUAGGAAUUAGGGGCCAAAAAGGGCCCAAAUAAGCAUUUUCUUGGUUUUCGCACUAUAACUUUAGUUAAGUAAAUAGAAUCUAUGAAAUUUUGACAUAAGGUUAUGACCACAAAGAAAGGUUGGGAUUGAUUUGGGAGUUUAGGUUCCAACAGUUUAGGAAUUAGGGGCCAAAAAAGGGCCAAAUAAGCAUUAUUCUUGGUUUUCGCACAAUAACUUUAGUUUAAAGUAAAUAGAAAUCAAUGAAAUUUAAACACAAUGUUUAUGACCACAAAAGGAAGUUGGUAUUGAUUUUUGGAAGUUUAGGUCCCAACAGUUAAGUAAUUAGGGCCAAAAAGGGACCCAAAAUAAGCAUUUUUUUGGUUUUCGCACCAUAACUUUAGUAUAAAAAAAUAUAGAAAUCUAUGAAAUUUAAACACAAGGUUUAUGACCAUAAAAGGAAGGUUGGUAUUGAUUUUGGAGUUUUGGUCCCAACAGUUUAGGAAUAAGGGCCCAAAGGGUCAGAUUAAACUUUGUUUGAUUUAUCAAAAUUGAAUAAUUGGGGUUCUUUGGAUAUGCCGAAUCUAACUGUGUAUGUAGAUUCUUAAUUUUUGGUCCCGUUUCAAAUGGUCUACUUUAAGGUCCAAAGGGUUCAAAAUUAAAACUUAGUUUGAUUUUAUCAAAAAUUGAAUCCUUGGGGUUCUUUGAUAUGCUGAAUCUAAAAAUGUUUUUAAUUUUUAUUAUUGGCCCAGUUUUCAAGUUGUCCAAAUCGCGGGUCCAAAAUAAAACUUGUUUGAUUUUCAUCAAAAAUUGAAUAAUUGGGGUUCUUUGAUAUGCCAAAUCUAACUUGUGUAUGUAGAUUCUUAAUUUUGGUCCGUUAAAUUGGUUUCAUUAACGUCAACAAAGGGUCCAAAAUUAAACUAAGUUUGAUUUUAACAAAAAUUGAAUUUUGGGCCUCUGUGAUAUGCUGAAUCUAAACAUGUACUUAGAUUUUUGAUUAUGGGCCCAGUUUUCAGUUGGUCCAAAUCAGGAUCCAAAAUUAUAUAUAUUAAGUAUUGGUGCAAUAGCAAGAAAUUUUCAAUUGCACAGUAUCAGCAUAGCAAGAAAUCUUCAAUUGCACAGUAUUGUGCAAUAGCAAAAAUCUUUCAAUUGCACAGUAUUGUGCAAUAGCAAAAUAUAUUUCCACAAUUGCACAGUAUUCCACAAUAAGCAAGAAAUACUAAUUGCAACAAUAUUGUGCAAUAGCAAGAAAUUCCAAUUGGAUUUCAAUUGGAGUUAUCUUUCUUUGCCAGAAUAGUAGUUGAAUCAACUUAAAUCAUUGUUUUAUACAAUAUACAAUGUAUAUUCACUUUUACUACCAACUGAUAGAUUAAAACAAUCUUUACCAUUCAGUGAUAACAAGCACUUUUUUUACAUUUUAAUAUUUUAUGAUGUAUUUAAAUGAGUAGUUAUUGUUGCAAACUUCAUUAGAAAUUUGAAUUGAGAUCAGUUUUGAAAUAAGGGAAAGGGGAUGUGAAAAAAAAAUUGGAGGGUCAAUUUUUUUCAUUUCAGAUUUCAUAAAUAAAAAGAAAAUUUCUUCAAACAUUUUUUUGAGAGGAUUAAUAUUCAACAGCAUAGUGAAUUGCUCAAAGAACAUUUUUUUUUAAGUUCAUUAGACCACAUUCAUUCUGUGUCAGAAACCUAUGCUGUGUCAACUAUUUAAUCACAAUCCAAAUUUAGAGCUGAUUCAGCUUGAAUGUUGUGUCCAUACUUGCCCCAACCGUUCAGGUUUCAACCUCUGUGGGUCGUAUAAAGCUGCGCCCUGCGGAAGCAUCUGGUUAUAUAAUUUGUCCAAAAAAUAGUACAACGCACUGUAAAAAUAUUAUUGAGAAAGCGCAGGUGGGAUUUUAAUUUAAUUUUAUUUAUUGUCUAAAAGAAAUGCACAACGAAAUAACUGUGGUCUCUGACCUACUGAAUCUCUGGGCUUCAUCUAAUUUUAUUGUUGGCCAAGUUCUAAUUAUGGACUCAUGGCACCUUUGAGUAAUGUUUUGGGGCCCCAGACUCUGCUGGUAGAUAGAUCUCUAUGGAUACGGAUGAGGGCCAAAGAUAAAGAGUUCCUGGGUACUUAUAUAAUUAGGGACUGUUGAGCCUGUAUUAUUACCUCAACAUGUUAUGCAAGUACAUGUACUAUAAUGUAUACAGUAUACAUAAAUAAAGAUUGGUGAUUAAAGGCAUAUAUUUUGAAAUUUCAUUUUAGACAUUAUUUAUGUGUGUAAUCUGUUGAUUAAUACCCUAAGAAAUAAAACUGAGAUGUUUCACUAGCUUUUCAUUGAAAAGCAUGUUAGACUCCUUUUAUAUUCGAUUUUACCACCACAUUUUGUUAUAAACACAAUUCACUAAAUGCAUUUCACUGAUAGCAGCCAUAAUUUAUACAUCUGUCAGUUCUGUCAGUAGUAAACACUAACAAACCAUCCUAAUAGAUGCAUAACUGAAUCACUUUAAAUUUGUUUUAAUCCAAAGGAUGCCUUGCAACUUAUCACAUUUACUAAUUUUCUCAAAACUAUAUCUUUAUAAUAGUAGAUUAAUAGUUAAACAUUAAAACAUAGUUUUAUUUUUAUGUAUAAAUGGAUAUACAUAUGUAUAGGUAAAUGGGUUAAUUAUAUUUAACAGUUCAUAUAAUAUUUAUAAGGACCGAAGAAUUAGAGAAAAUGUUGAACUGUUUGUUGGUCAUGUUUGGAAUUAUUAUAAGGUUUCUGGACGAUAUUUGAUCAUGUGAUAAUUUAAAGGACCAUGAUCAUCGGCAUGCUGUCCUCUGUAAAGCUAUCAUUUAUAAAUCUACAGCAAACAUGCUAUAACUUAGAAAUAUUCAUGAUAAAUAUUUGAUGGUCAUUCUAAUUUUUGUUUACCUUGGUUAUAAUAAUUUAUUAACUAUAUAAAUUCCAUAUUAAAAAGUCCGAGCAUUUCUAAAAUUUCUCGCCCUAUUUGUCUAUAUGCAUUGUGAUGGAAUCUGAGCUCCCUGAGUCUACCACCUGCCUUUGAUGAGUAACUGGAAUACUUGUACUUGAAUACCAAUUGAUGGUGCACUCACAUCUUGUGGUUUAUCAAAUUACCAGUGUGAAAUUAUAUGAUAGGUAGAUUGGUCUAUUAACCAAUUAUCUAACCACGAUGAACAUGUAACCUGCACCUUUUAUUGAGUUUUAAUUAUUGAUUCACAUGCAUGUAAAAUUGCUGUUGAUUUACCUUGUUUGAGUAUUUUUCUCCAAUAUUCGUUUGGUGUCUAUAUUAACUCUGUUUUAUCUAUUACAGAGGCACACUUACUCUAAAUAGAUCACACACACAUGAAAACAAAAAUAAUAUAAGCAUGGAGUUUUCUAACAUAUUUUUAGAACUUUAUAAAAGCAGUGACACUUUUGUACCAACUGUUUUAACCUAUGAAAAUUAACUUUAGUAUUGUUACUAUUUGAUACUUAAACUUAUGAAAAUUAAAUAAUUUUUUCUACAUGUUCUAAAGUCAAUAUUUGCUAUAUGUUUUAUUAUAUUUCAGAUUAUUGGAGUGAUGAUAGCAAUGCGGUACAGAAAUCUGAAAGAUCCUUCAGCAAAUCCUAAUGCUUUUCUUUGAUCCAUAUACUGUAUAGUUAUUUAAAUAAGACAUUUUCCCUAAGUCCCACAGUUCUGUAGCCAUGCUCACAAAAAAAUGAUCUCAAUAUCUAGAAACUUGUGUUUUAUUGCUAUUUGUAAGUCCCACCUAUGAUAGUAGAGGGGCAUUGUGUUUUCUGGUCUGUGCGUCCGUUCGUCCGUCUGUCCAACUUCAGAUUAAAGUUUUUGUAGUUUUUGAUGAAGUUGAAGUCCAAUCAACUUGAAAAUUAGUACACAUGUUCCAUAUGCCAAAUUAGAGUUUUGACCCCAAUUUCAUGGUUCACUGAACAUAGAAUAUGAUAGUGCAAAUUUCAGGUUAAAGUUGUUGGUCAAGGUAGUUGAAGUCCAAUCAACUUGAAACGUAGUAAACAUGUUCCCUAUGAUAUGAUCUUUCUAAUUUAAAUGCCAAAUUAGAGAUUUUACCCCAUUUUCACGGUCCACUAAACAUAGAAAAUGAUAGUUGAGUGGGGCAUCCGUGUACUAUGGACACAUUCUUGUUUAAAACUAGGGAAAAGUAAGAAGAGAAGGAUACACUUAUGUAUUUAUAAGCAUGAUAAGAUCUCAAAACUAAUUUUUACAAGCAUCUACAAAAUUUAUUCUACUAACAAGUAUUUUUUAGGGAAAUUAGAUUCUUUAAUAUAUAAUAUAAAUUUUGAGACGGGGAAAAAAAUAAGAUAACUUUAAGUUUAUCUCAUUUUAAAAAACAUAUCUUUUUUGUGAAAAUGGCUACAUACUUGCUCAAAACAUUUAAAUUCAUUGGUUGAUGUAUCAUUCCUUUUGAAUCUGUUUUAAUUGUUCUAUGAUAGUGAAGAGCCAUUGUAAUAUGUACAUGUACUUACACUCAAUUAUUGAAGAUAUAUUUAAAUGUGCAAUACAUAUGAUAUAUAUGUACACUAAAACUGAGUAAAUUCUUCAGAAGCACCACUUUCAAUCAGGUCUUCCUCAACAUUUUUGUUUUCAUGAAAGUCAUCCAUGUGAAUGAGCAUUUGCCAUAACUAUAAAACGAAAUAUUUAAAACUACUGUGGCAAUAAAUUUCUAAUUUCAGUCAUGUCAUUUAUAACCUUAAAAUUAAAAAGAAAAGAGACACAUAUAUUGAGAAAUAAGGAACUAUAAAACUUUCUAUUUUGGUCCUGUCUUA